ACCAGACUCCUACGGGAGGCAGCAGUGGGGAAUAUUGGGCAAUGGGCGCAAGCCUGACCCAGCAACGCCGCGUGAAGGAAGAAGGCUUUCGGGUUGUAAACUUCUUUUAUGAGGGACGAAACAAAUGACGGUACCUCAUGAAUAAGCCACGGCUAACUACGUGCCAGCAGCCGCGGUAAUACGUAGGUGGCAAGCGUUGUCCGGAUUUACUGGGUGUAAAGGGCGUGUAGCCGGGCUGACAAGUCAGAUGUGAAAUCCGGGGGCUCAACCCCCGAACUGCAUUUGAAACUGUUGGUCUUGAGUAUCGGAGAGGCAGGCGGAAUUCCUAGUGUAGCGGUGAGAUGCGUAGAUAUUAGGAGGAACAUCAGUGGCGAAGGCGGCCUGCUGGACGACAACUGACGGUGAGGCGCGAAAGCGUGGGGAGCAAACAGGAUUAGAUACCCCGGUACGU
rnacentral:rRNA from 1 species